rnacentral:misc_RNA from 1 species
UCCGGUUUGUCACCGGCAGUCUCAUUAGAGUGCCCUUUCGUAGCAACUAAUGACAAGGGUUGCGCUCGUUGCGGGACUUAACCCAACAUCUCACGACACGAGCUGACGACAGCCAUGCAGCACCUGUGUUCGCAUUCCCUUUCGGGCACACUCCCAUCUCUGGAAGCUUUGCGACAUGUCAAGGGUAGGUAAGGUUCUUCGCGUUGCAUCGAAUUAAUCCACAUCAUCCACCGCUUGUGCGGGUCCCCGUCAAUUCCUUUGAGUUUUAAUCUUGCGACCGUACUCCCCAGGCGGUCAACUUCACGCGUUAGCUUCGUUACUGAAGGAUUUCACUCCUCCAACAACCAGUUGACAUCGUUUAGGGCGUGGACUAC